GCCUUCGUGGUGUAAUGGUCAUCACACUGAGCCGGUAUUUCAGAGGUCCGCGGUUCGAUCCCCGGCGAAGGCA
rnacentral:tRNA from 1 species